rnacentral:rRNA from 1 species
AACGAACGCUGGCGGCAGGCUUAACACAUGCAAGUCGAACGAGAUCUUCGGAUCUAGUGGCAGACGGGUGAGGAACACGUGGGAACAUACCUUUCAGUUCGGAAUAACGUUGGGAAACUAGCGCUAAUACCGGAUACGUCCUUCGGGAGAAAGAUUUAUCGCUGAAAGAUUGGCCCGCGUCUGAUUAGCUAGUUGGUGAGGUAACGGCUCACCAAGGCUACGAUCAGUAGCUGAUCUGAGAGGAUGAUCAGCCACAUUGGGACUGAGACACGGCCCAAACUCCUACGGGAGGCAGCAGUGGGGAAUAUUGGACAAUGGGCGCAAGCCUGAUCCAGCCAUGCCGCGUGAGUGAUGACGGCCUUCGGGUUGUAAAGCUCUUUUGUCCGGGAAGAUAAUGACUGUACCGGAAGAAUAAGCCCCGGCAAACUUCGUGCCAGCAGCCGCGGUAAAAC